rnacentral:rRNA from 1 species
GACGAACGCUGGCGGCGUGCCUAAUACAUACAAGUCGAACGCUGAAGGAGGAGCUUGCUUCUCUGGAUGAGUUGCGAACGGGUGAGUAACGCGUAGGUAACCUGCCUGGUAGCGGGGGAUAACUAUUGGAAACGAUAGCUAAUACCGCAUAAGAGUAGAUGUUGCAUGACAUUUGCUUAAAAGGUGCAAUUGCAUCACUACCAGAUGGACCUGCGUUGUAUUAGCUAGUUGGUGGGGUAACGGCUCACCAAGGCGACGAUACAUAGCCGACCUGAGAGGGUGAUCGGCCACACUGGGACUGAGACACGGCCCAGACUCCUACGGGAGGCAGCAGUAGGGAAUCUUCGGCAAUGGACGGAAGUCUGACCGAGCAACGCCGCGUGAGUGAAGAAGGUUUUCGGAUCGUAAAGCUCUGUUGUAAGAGAAGAACGAGUGUGAGAGUGGAAAGUUCACACUGUGACGGUAUCUUACCAGAAAGGGACGGCUAACUACGUG